rnacentral:lncRNA from 1 species
CUCUCCUCUCCGUUGUAUACAAGACAGUGUGUGUUAAACAGAGAGAGAGGGAGAGCGUGUGUGUUAGUGCUCUCAGCUUUUUUUCACAAGUAAACUUUUCCCUUAGAGGCAUUUAUGAUUUACUUCGAUGUAUUUUAUUGAACGGCAUCGUUACAGAUAAAUUCACCGUGGAUUCGUCUGUGCGGUGUAAUUAAUGCGCAAGUCCUAUGCAUUAACAUAUUUGGCCUCACAUACCACGUGUAAACAAUGCCUGCCGUAAACUGUGGUCCAGUUUGAACAUGUGAAGCUCCAAGUGUUUUACUUUCCUUAGGAACAGCAUCGGGUUAAAUUAAAUAAAAGCCUGUUGAUUGGACCUGUGACGUCGAGAUAAGCCUCAGCUUCCUCGCCCCCCCCCCCUCUCUCUGUGACCCCCCCCUUCCCCCCUACAGAUAAGUCGACUAUGACCUACUGAUAAGAUUGCUGAUAACAAGUCCCGAGUGUCUUCUUCAUACCUCGCUGGCUCGUCUCGUGGCAAAAGAUUAGACUCUUUAAUAACGAAACAGAUGACCUAUUAUUUCAUCACUGGAACAUUCUCUUAUAUCGUGCUGCUAUCAUAAUAGUUUUCAUAAUAGUCGUGAAUGAUGAUAGAUUCAUAAGUGAGAGAGAGAUAGAGAGAGGGAAAGAAA